AUGGUCUAUUUAAUUCAUUUUGGUUGGCUAGGCUUAGUGUCAAAGGUUAUAUGUCAUGGGUUUGGUGAGUUCUGUUGGAUUUUUAGAUAGUCAGUUGUAUUCACUAGCAGAGUGUUGAAGGGUGGUUUUCUUUGCAUAUCUUUUGACAUCUUUUUUCUGACUUGAGGUUCCUUGAAAAUCAGUUAUCUUCCUAUUUUUGAUAUUUUGGCUCUGGUACCAUAUAUCUGGUAAGAUCAUUGUUUUGUAUGUAUUUCUGUGAUGUCUAACUUGUAUUUGUCAUAUAAUUUCUUUUGUGUGUGUUCGAUGUGUACUUUACCAUUUAGUUUGCAUAAAUGUCAUAAAUGAUAAGAUUUAUUAUAUUUAAAUGCAUUAUGGGUAAAGAGCCUCAUUUUGAGAUUUAAAUGUUAUUUUAUAAUUUUUCUUAAACUUUACACAAAAUAAUGGACGAAUAAUUUUGUGUUCAUUGUAUUGAAAUUAUUUCCCUAGUAUUUGUAUAUUUUAUGUGGUGUGUGAUUGUGUAUGCUUAUAAUUGUUUAUUAUGUUUCAGAGCUGCUAUUUACAUGUCAGAAAUAGAUUUAUUUCUUCAAUAAACUCAUAACCUGUCA